rnacentral:rRNA from 1 species
CCUACGGGUGGCAGCAGUGAGGAAUAUUGGUCAAUGUGCGGAAGCCUGAACCCGCCAAGUAGCGUGCAGGAUGACUGCCCUACGGGUUGUAAACUGCUUUUAUACGGGAAUAACGCGCCUUACGUGUAGGUCUUUGCAUGUACCGUAUGAAUAAGGACCGGCUAAUUCCGUGCCCGCAGCCGCGGUCAUACGGAAGGUCCGGGCGUUAUCCGGAUUUCUUGGGUUUAAAGGUAGCGUAGGCCGCAUGUCAAGCGUGCUGUGAAAUGUCCGGGCUCAACCCGGGCCGUGCAGCGCGAACUGGCGUGCUUGAGUCCGCGGAAAGCAGGCGGAAUUCGUCGUGUAGCGGUGAAAUGCUUAGAUAUGACGAAGAACCCCGAUUGCGAAGGCAGCUUGCUGCAGCGGAACUGACGCUGAUGCUCGAAAGCGCGGGUAUCGAACAGGAUUAGAUACCCUGGUAGUC